CCCUCACCCAUUCUCUACAAAUGUUAAUAUCUUAUAUAACCAUAGUACAUUCAUCAACACUAAAAAACCAAAACUAGCACAUUACAAUCAAAUAAAUUCCAGACUUUAUUUGGGUGUCACCAGUUUUUCCAUUAAUGUCCUUUUUCUGUUCCAGAAUCCUAUUCAGGAUUCCAUAUUGCAUUUAUUUUUUAUUCCACCGAUUUUAUUAUUAUUCUACCAUUUACUUUUAAUGCAAUUACUGAUACGGAUAGGUUUAAGUCUGUCAGCAUGCUAUUUGUUUUCUACUUGUCCCAUCUUAUCUUGUUCCUCCUUUCCUGACAUCUUUUGGUUAAUCAAGUAUUUUUUAGUAUUCUGUUUUAUCUAGAGACUUGCCUGUACUACUAUAUCUUCUUGGCCCUCAUUGACAACUUCUCCCUGGUGGCCCCCACUGAGCAUCCAGACACCAAAGACAAAGAUAUUUUUUAAAUGUUGCUCUGCUCCCCACACAGGGCUCAAUACUCAAGUUUCAAGGCUGCCUCUCCCCACCGAAGACUGGCUUGCCGGCGGCAGUGGAAGGAAGGGGAACCGAAGACAGGAGGACAUGGCUGGCCAGGCCAGCUCUGGCUGUAACUGUCAUGUGACAGACCAAGCAAUAUCAAAGAACUAGAGUUCUCAGAGCAAGAAAUGUCACUGGAGCAAGAACUAGCAGAGGGAGUCACAGAUAGGGAACACCCAAUAUUCCAGACGGCUACUGUGUGCAGAGUGAACUUCCAGAGUUGUGAAGUCCUGACCCACGUGGCCCUGCCGCCAACUUCAAUCCACACAGCCCUCCAUUUUGCUAACUGUCCUCCAGUCACACAGGCCUCCUGUCAGUUCCCAAAUAGGUGGACCUCCUUCCUAACACAAGCCAUCGCACAUGCUGCUCCUUCAACCUGGAGCGCUCAUCCUUGCCUUCCCUUGCCAAAUCCCCUUCCCAUAAAAUGAUUAUACAACUAAUUCCUUUACAUCUUUAUGUUUUUGCUUAAAUAUCACUUCCUCACAGAGGCCUUUCCUAACAACCCUAUUUAAAGUUAAAUACUACCCAAGUAUUCUCUA
rnacentral:lncRNA from 1 species